GAGUGAAGCGGCAACAGCUCAAAUUUGAAAUCUAGGUCCUAGCGACCUCGAGUUGUAAUUUGUAGAGGAUGUUUCGGGUGAGGUAUCGAUCUAAGUUCCUUGGAACAGGGCGUCAUAGAGGGUGAGAAUCCCGUAUGUGACCGAUAUCCAAUCCCAUGUGAAACUCCUUCGACGAGUCGAGUUGUUUGGGAAUGCAGCUCAAAAUGGGUGGUAAAUUUCAUCUAAAGCUAAAUACUGGCCAGAGACCGAUAGCGCACAAGUAGAGUGAUCGAAAGAUGAAAAGCACUUUGGAAAGAGAGUUAAAAAGUACGUGAAAUUGUUGAAAGGGAAGCGCUUGCAGCCAGACUCGCUCGGGGAUGAUCAACCUUCCUUUUGGAUGGUGCACUCUUCCUCGAUCGGGCCAGCAUCGGUUCGGUCGGCUGGAUAAAGGUUCUAGGAACGUAGCUCCUCUCGGGGAGUGUUAUAGCCUAGUUCGUAAUGCAGCCAGACUGGACCGAGGACCGCGCUUUUUGCUAGGAUGCUGGCGUAAUGGCUGUCAGCGACCCGUCUUGAAACACGGACCAAGGAGUCAACCAACCGUGCGAGUGUUUGGGUGUAAAACCCACACGCGUAAUGAAAGUGAACGGAGGUGAGAACCCCUUUAGGGGCGCAUCAUCGACCGAUCCUGAUGUCUUCGGAUGGAUUUGAGUAAGAGCACAGCUGGUUGGACCCGAAAGAUGGUGAACUAUGCGUGAAUAGGGUGAAGCCAGAGGAAACUCUGGUGGAGGCUCGCAGCGGUUCUGACGUGCAAAUCGAUCGUCAAAUUUGCGUAUAGGGGCGAAAGACUAAUCGAACCAUCUAGUAGCUG
rnacentral:rRNA from 1 species